AGAGUUUGAUCCUGGCUCAGGAUGAACGCUGGCGGCGUGCUUAACACAUGCAAGUCGAACGAAGCACUUUAUUUGAUUUCUUCGGAAUGAAGAUUUUGUGACUGAGUGGCGGACGGGUGAGUAACGCGUGGGUAACCUGCCUCAUACAGGGGGAUAACAGUUGGAAACGACUGCUAAUACCGCAUAAGCGCACAGGGUCGCAUGACCUGGUGUGAAAAACUCCGGUGGUAUGAGAUGGACCCGCGUCUGAUUAGCCAGUUGGUGGGGUAACGGCCUACCAAAGCGACGAUCAGUAGCCGACCUGAGAGGGUGACCGGCCACAUUGGGACUGAGACACGGCCCAAACUCCUACGGGAGGCAGCAGUGGGGAAUAUUGCACAAUGGGGGAAACCCUGAUGCAGCGACGCCGCGUGAGCGAAGAAGUAUUUCGGUAUGUAAAGCUCUAUCAGCAGGGAAGAAGAAAUGACGGUACCUGACCAAGAAGCACCGGCUAAAUACGUGCCAGCAGCCGCGGUAAUACGUAUGGUGCAAGCGUUAUCCGGAUUUACUGGGUGUAAGGGGAGCGCAGGCGGUACGGCAAGUCUGAUGUGAAAGCCCGGGGCUCAACCCCGGUACUGCAUUGGAAACUGUCGGACUAGAGUGUCGGAGGGGUAAGUGGAAUUCCUAGUGUAGCGGUGAAAUGCGUAGAUAUUAGGAGGAACACCAGUGGCGAAGGCGGCUUACUGGACGAUUACUGACGCUGAGGCUCGAAAGCGUGGGGAGCAAACAGGAUUAGAUACCCUGGUAGUCCACGCUGUAAACGAUGAAUACUAGGUGUCGGGGAGCAUUGCUCUUCGGUGCCGCAGCAAACGCAAUAAGUAUUCCACCUGGGGAGUACGUUCGCAAGAAUGAAACUCAAAGGAAUUGACGGGGGCCCGCACAAGCAGUGGAGUAUGUGGUUUAAUUCGACGCAACGCGAAGAACCUUACCAAGUCUUGACAUCCCUUGACGAUGCUGGAAACAGUAUUUCUCUUCGGAGCAAGGAGACAGGUGGUGCAUGGUUGUCGUCAGCUCGUGUCGUGAGAUGUUGGGUUAAGUCCCGCAACGAGCGCAACCCUUAUGGUCAGUUACUACGCAAGAGGACUCUGGCCAGACUGCCGUUGACAAAACGGAGGAAGGUGGGGAUGACGUCAAAUCAUCAUGCCCUUUAUGACUUGGGCUACACACGUACUACAAUGGCGUUAAACAAAGAGAAGCAAGACCGCAAGGUGGAGCAAAACUCAGAAACAACGUCCCAGUUCGGACUGCAGGCUGCAACUCGCCUGCACGAAGUCGGAAUUGCUAGUAAUCGUGGAUCAGCAUGCCACGGUGAAUACGUUCCCGGGCCUUGUACACACCGCCCGUCACACCAUGAGAGCCAGGGGGACCCGAAGUCGGUAGUCUAACCGCAAGGAGGACGCCGCCGAAGGUAAAACUGGUGAUUGGGGUGAAGUCGUAACAAGGUA
rnacentral:rRNA from 1 species